rnacentral:misc_RNA from 1 species
GUGAUGAUAAUGUCUAUACCUCUCUUCUUACUCUUCUUAACACCUCCAUCAUCAACCUCUACUUGUUUCCGUACUAAUUGCUUGAUUUCUGAAUUGGGUUUUGGGGAUUCUCUGAGAUGUCUAAGUCUAAGUCUUUCUAAUAGAAUUGAAUGCUUAACAGGUUGAAGUGCAUCUUCUUCUUCAGCAACAGCAGCAUAAGAAGGAGCAGUAGUAGUUGUAGAAGAAAGGGGUCUAAACCCUAGAUAAACCCUGCGAGGCUGAGGAAGAAGAGGGUUUCUGGUUAAGGGAAAACGAAAAGGGAGGAGAGAAAGGUUGAGCAGGGCUCUGCCUGUAACUCCCAUUUGUGCUAUCUUGAAGCUUGGUUGAUGACACUCUAAUGGAGUAUAUACAGAGGCUAAA